rnacentral:misc_RNA from 1 species
UUUCCGUAGGUGAACCUGCGGAAGGAUCAUUAUUGUAUAACCGAGGUGCGAGGGCUGUCGCUGACCCGAAAGGUCGUGCACGCCCGAGUGCCCUCACACACAUCCAUCUCACCCCUAUGUGCACCACCGCGUGGGUCCCCCUUUGGCUUGUUCGGAGGGGGGCUUACGUUUUCACACAAACUUUGUAUGCAGUGUAGAAUGUAUUUUUUGUUUUUGCGAUCACGCAAUCAAUACAACUUUCAACAACGGAUCUCUUGGCUCUCGUAUCGAUGAAGAACGCAGC